GACGGAGGAUGCAAGUGUUAUCCGGAAUCACUGGGCGUAAAGGGUCUGUAGGUGGUUUUUUAAGUCUGCUGUUAAAGCUUGAAGCUCAACUUCAAAAAUGCAUCGGAAACUAGAAGACUUGAGUAUGGUAGGGGUAGAGGGAAUUUCCAGUGAAGUGGUGAAAUGCGUAGAUAUUGGAAAGACCACCAGAGGCGAAGGCACUCUACUGGGCCACAACUGACACUGAGAGACGAAAGCUAGGGGAGCGAAUGGG
rnacentral:rRNA from 1 species